rnacentral:misc_RNA from 1 species
GGUUACUAUCGAUUGAGUGAGAAUUGAGAUUUGACAUUAUUGAUAAGAAGUUGUCAAAUAGAUAAUAAAACCAAAUAAAAGUGAUCAAAACAGCAAUUUCAAUGGAAUAAUUAUAACAGUUCCGUUCUCGCUGUACCACGAUAGUAACUAUGUCAUCAGAAUCGGGUCAAGAUCAGAAGAUCGACGUAAUGUUGGGCUUAAAAAAAGUAUUGUCACAAAUUGAGGGUGCGGUGGCCAGGCGCAGUAAAGACCUGCCACAAGUUAUGCCAAGGUUAGUAGCUGUCUCAAAGAUAAAACCUGCUUCGUUGAUUGUUGAAGCUUAUGAGGCUGGCCAGCGCCAUUUUGGGGAGAAUUAUGUCAACGAGUUAGCUGAUAAAGCAAGUGACCCUCUCAUUCUAGAGAAAUGCAAGGAUAUUAAAUGGCAUUUCAUUGGCCAUUUGCAAACCAACAAAAUAAAUAAACUUCUUAGUUCCCCGCAACUAUUUAUGAUACAGACGGUUCAUUCUGAGAAGUUAGCUGACAAUUUGAACAAGCAAUGGCCGAAAUAUAGAAAAAAUGAGGAAAAAUUGCCUGUGUUUGUACAGAUCAAUACUAGUGCUGAAGAAGCUAAAAAUGGAAUUGAGCCGUCUGAAACAACAAGAGUGGUUGAGCAUGUCCUGAAAAACUGUCCGAACCUGGAUUUCAAAGGAUUGAUGACAAUUGGAAUGUACGACUAUGAUGUGACUAAAAUCACAAACCCAGAUUUCCUAUGCCUCGCUAAAUGUAGACAGGAAGUUUGUGAAAAUUUGAACCUUGAUAUAAAUAACGUGGAAUUAUCUAUGGGGAUGUCUGGUGAUUUUGAACAGGCUAUUGAACUUGGAGCUACUACAGUUCGUGUUGGUUCAGUAAUUUUUGGUGCUAGGCCACCAAAACCAUGGUAAAAGUAUAUUUGCUAUAUAAAUAGGGAUGUUGACAAUAUUUAGGACUACAGAUUUAAAGUGUAUGUUUUUUAAGUGGAAAUUCGAAUACAAAACCGUUUCUUUAUGAUUUACCUAGGUUAGGUGUUACCUACUUUUUAUUGUUUUUAAUUUAUUAAUGAAUUACUUACGCCUUUUAUACUUUAACAAUAGUAUAUUUAUUAAACCAUAAUUCCCUGCUAUGUUAGAAAUAUGACAAUCUUUACAUAUUUCCGUGAUUAAUGUCAGUCAUCAUCCCUAUUACAAAGAAUAAUAUAUUUAAUAGACAAUAACAGCCAUAAGCUGAAUUUAUCUUCAAUGUUAAUGUUGUUUUUUCUUGAAUGUUAUUAAUUAAUAAAUGUGAUAGUAAACGGGCUUCCAAACUUG